CCGCGGUAUUUUGACUGUGCUAAGGUAGCAUAAUCAUUAGUCUUUUAAUUGAAAGCUGGAAUGAAGGGUUGGAUGAAAAAAAAACUGUCUCUAUUUAAUUAUUAUUGAAUUUUAUUUUUAAGUUAAAAAGCUUAAAUUUUAUUAAAAGACGAGAAGACCCUAUAGAGUUUUAUAAUUUUAUUAUUUAUAAAAUUUAGGAUUUAUUUUUAUGAAUUUUHAAAAUUAUUUAAUUGGGGUGAUYAAAAAAUUAAAUUAACUUUUUUAUAUAAUUAUAUAAAUUAAUAAAUAUUUGAUCCAAAAUUUUUGAUUAAAAGAUUAAAUUACCUUAGGGAUAACAGCGUAAUUUUAUUAGAGAGUU
rnacentral:rRNA from 1 species